rnacentral:rRNA from 1 species
GUCAUAUGCUUGUCUCAAAGAUUAAGCCAUGCAUGUCUCAGUACAAGCCAAAUUAAGGUGAAACCGCGAAAGGCUCAUUAAAUCAGUUAUGGUUCCUUAGAUCGUACCCACAAUUACUUGGAUAACUGUGGUAAUUCUAGAGCUAAUACAUGCAAACAGAGSUCCGACCGGAGACGGAAGGAGUGSUUUUAUUAGAUCAAAACCAAUCGGUGGCGGGUCCGCUCGUCAUCGUACAACUUGGUSACUCUGAAUAACUUUACGCUGAUCGCACGGUCAUCGCACCGGSGACGCAUCUUUCAAAUGUCUGCCUUAUCAACUGUCGAUGGUAGGUURUGCGCCUACCAUGGUSGUAACGGGUAACGGGGAAYCAGGGUUCGAUU